rnacentral:rRNA from 1 species
UACGUAGGGCGCGAGCGUUGUCCGGAAUUAUUGGGCGUAAAGAGCUCGUAGGCGGCUUGUUGCGUCUGCUGUGAAAUCCCGGGGCUUAACCCCGGGCGUGCAGUGGAUACGGGCAGGCUGGAGGCAGGCAGGGGAGAAUGGAAUUCCCGGUGUAGCGGUGAAAUGCGCAGAUAUCGGGAGGAACACCGGUGGCGAAGGCGGUUCUCUGGGCCUGUUCUGACGCUGAGGAGCGAAAGCGUGGGAGCGAACAGG